rnacentral:rRNA from 1 species
UGAGGAAUAUUGCGCAAUGGGGGAAACCCUGACGCAGCAACGCCGCGUGGGUGAAGAAGGCCUUCGGGUCGUAAAGCCCUUUCGGACGGGACGAAAGUUCCGCGGGGAUAAUCCGCGGAGCCUGACGGUACCGUAGGAAGAAGCACCGGCUAACUCCGUGCCAGCAGCCGCGGUAAUACGGAGGGUGCAAGCGUUGUUCGGAAUUACUGGGCGUAAAGCGCGUGUAGGCGGCCUUGUAAGUCAGAUGUGAAAGCCCUCGGCUCAACCGGGGAAGUGCAUCUGAAACGGCAAGGCUUGAGUACGGGAGAGGGAGGCGGAAUUCCCAGUGUAGAGGUGAAAUUCGUAGAUAUUGGGAGGAACACCGGUGGCGAAAGCGGCCUCCUGGACCGAUACUGACGCUGAGACGCGAAAGCGUGGGGAGCAAACAGGAUUAGAUACCCUGGUAGUCCUAGCUGUAAACGAUGGGCACUUGGUGUUGCGGGUAUCGACCCCUGCAGUGCCGAAGCUAACGCAUUAAGUGCCCCGCCUGGGGAGUACGGUCGCAAGGCUG